CUGCCUCCCACCAAGACCCUGAAGGGGGAGAGGUCCCCUCCAAGUAAUUGAAGGCAGCUCUCUGAAAUCAACAGACAUUCUGCAGAAACAGAAACCAGCCUGAGCUAGCUUCAGUAAAAAGGACUCUUAGAGGCUACAGUGUGUUUCAUGGCACCAAGGGCAGGAGGGAAGCCAGACUUCUGGAAUGGCCUGGAACCAGGUGCUGAGAACUCUCUGGCCAAGGCUUUCAUUUCGGUAGAAAGCAAGCGAACAAGAUGCUCUCUGAUGGUGAGAACCACAAACUGAGGGACAUUCUACGACCAAA